rnacentral:lncRNA from 1 species
CUGCCUUUCUUCUUUGGGAUGUAAGAGAAUUUGCAUCGCUAACGUUCUUGGCUGUGUUUUCCAUGCACAUGGGCAGAGCUGGAGGUAGCAGACAGCCACGAUCCUUUUUGCCCCAAAAUGCUCACAUUUGGCAAGUGGUAAUGACACGGUCCGUCAUUUUAAAACAAUUGCCAAAGAGCAAAGGACACAAGCAGGGAGCAUAUGAGAGUCUCAGCCAUCCUUCCCUGCUCUGUCUAUGGCAUCCACAACAUAGUACGCUGCCAGCCAAAAUAAUCCAAAUUCCCAUGUCCCAAGGGAGCCAUGCUUCGGGGCAGCAGCGUUGACAGAGUCAGUAGGCUCAGAGCCAUUAGCUUUGGGAAGACUUUGAUGU